GGAAUAUUGGACAAUGGGGGCAACCCUGAUCCAGCGAUGCCGCGUGUGCGAAGAAGGCCUGCGGGUUGUAAAGCACUUUGGGUAGGGAAGAAAUGCGCAGUUUAAAUAGAGCUGCGAGUUGACGUUACCUACAGAACAAGCACCGGCUAACUCUGUGCCAGCAGCCGCGGUAAUACAGAGGGUGCAAGCGUUAAUCGGAAUUACUGGGCGUAAAGGGCGCGUAGGCGGAUGAAUAAGUUAGGUGUGAAAUCCCCGGGCUUAACCUGGGAAUGGCAUUUAAUACUGUUUAUCUGGAGUAGAGUAGAGGGAAGUGGAAUUUCCGGUGUAGCGGUGAAAUGCGUAGAGAUCGGAAAGAACACCAGUGGCGAAGGCGGCUUCCUGGACUCAUACUGACGCUGAGGCGCGAAAGCGUGGGUAGCAAA
rnacentral:rRNA from 1 species